GACAGAAACCCAGAGGUUCACUUGAGGAGCUUUGUGUAAGGAACCUCGGCAAGGAACCCAGGAAAUGAUGUCACUUCCUGGCAACAGAUACCAACAGAACACGGAAACUGGAUCUCCAGGCCUCACAGCAGAGAGGAGCCCCAAGCCAGUUCACGGGCAGCCAGGAUGUUUUGCUGUUUGCCCCUUCCCAGAGGCCAGGGCCUCGGGAGAGCUCACCAGCAGAGUGUGUAGGAAUGCAGUUGGUGCUUCCUCAGGACCCCCCUGAGAGGCCUCUGGCCCUUUGCCUGAAGGAACAGAAAGAGCUUCCCAGUCGAUGUGGCCAAUGAGAGGGGCACCCUGUUCACCUCCUCGAGGGAAGCAUCAGAUCACCACCCCCUUGCCCGUGAGGCCCAGUGCAGGCUCCAGGUGUGUGUGCCCAUGGGGGGAUCAGCCCAACUGGCAAUGAAGAGGAAGUGGGGAAGGCCUACUCCACACACACCACCCAGGACACAUCCCAGGGCCCAGUCUCAGGCUGCCAUGGAACUCAGCACACCCAGCUCUGACCCUGAGCCCCAAGAACACCUGCCUCUGAGGCAGCAGGAGAACCUGGAGCCCAGCAUGGCAGAGCACAGAGCUCUAGCACUGGCCUCUAAUUACAACCAGACUCCGCUUCCAAGUCCUGGCCCUACAGCAGUGGGUGCUACAUAUGCAGAACCCAGGGAUCCACUGAGGGGAGAUCAAGACCUGAGACUUCCCUUCCCAAAUACACUGGGCCAGCUGGAUACUGGCCAGCAAACUGGGUAUAUCAGACCUCUGUGCCUGCAGGACCCCCAGCCAAAGGCACCAAUGUCCCACCCCCUCAGUGAGAACAUCCACCUCCACCUGCACCUGUACCUGCUCAGGCUUUGGCAGGAGAACCUGAGUCAGGGGAUGAGUCACCACCUCUGCGGGGAGAGCCUGCCCUGGCUCCUGCCCAAGACCCAGAUGCCCACAAUGACUGACCCACCCCUGCAGGAAGAACGGGCCCCUGCUCUGGACAGAUACCCAGAGCCCUUUCUGAAAACACCUAGUCCAGGGUAGCGGUUGGCUCUGCAGCCUCCAUCCCUGCCUGCUUCCCGUGGAUGCCAUCAACUCGCUCCCCACCCAGGGCAGAUUGAGUGCCCUUCCCCUGAGCUUAUUUGCAUCUGGUUUUUGUGUAGCUUUCUUGUGAUGUUUUAUUUUUU
rnacentral:lncRNA from 1 species